GAAUAUGAGUGUGAUCUGGCAGUGACAUCUGUCACCCCAUUGAUCGCCAGGGUUGAUUUGGCUGACCUGGCUGGCUAGGCAGGUGUCCUCUUCCUCCCUGUCCAUGCCAUGUGUGUCCCUCCCGGAAGCUUUGUGCUUAGUCCAAGAGGACAACCAACCCAGACAAAGGAGGACAGGUCAAUGGUAUAUGAGUAGCUACACUCCCCUGCAGCUACUCAAACAAGCUCUCAAAGUGGCUGAGCCAUUUUUACUUUCCCAUUUAUAAGGGUUCCAAUUUCUCCACACUUUUGCUCACACUUGGUAUUGUCUGACAUUUUAU
rnacentral:snRNA from 1 species